rnacentral:rRNA from 1 species
CCUACGGGUGGCAGCAGUGAGGAAUAUUGGUCAAUGGCCGUAAGGCUGAACCAGCCAAGUCGCGUGAAGGAAGAAGGAUCUAUGGUUUGUAAACUUCGUUUAUAGGGGAAUAAAGGUAUCCACGUGUGGAUAUUUGCAUUUACCCUAUGAAUAAGCAUCGGCUAACUCAGUGCCAGCAGACGCGGUAAUACGGAGGAUGCGAGCGUUAUCCGGAUUUAUUGGGUUUAAAGGGUGCGGAGGUUGUUUUUUAAGUCAGCGGUGAAAGUUUAUGGCUCAACCAUAAAAUUGCCGUUGAAACUGGAAGACUUGAGUGUGUUUGAGGUAGGUGGAAUGCGUGGUGUAGCGGUGAAAUGCAUAGAUAUCACGCAGAACUCCGAUUGCGAAGGCAGCUUACUAAGCCAUAACUGACACUGAAGCACGAAAGCGUGGGGAGCAAACAGGAUUAGAUACCCUAGUAGUC